CCCUUAGAUGUCCGGGGCCGCACGCGCGCUACACUGAAGGAAUCAGCGUGGCUCUGUCCCUGGUCCGAAAGGAUUGGGAAACCCGUUGAAUCUCCUUCGUGAUAGGGAUUGGGGCUUGGAACUGUUCCCCAUGAACGAGGAAUUCCCAGUAAGCGCGAGUCAUAAGCUCGCGUUGAUUACGUCCCUGCCCUUUGUACACACCGCCCGUCGCAGCUACUGAUUGAAUAUAUCGGUGAAAUAUUGGGACCGUGAUGAACGAAGCUUCAUUGCUUCUAUCAUUAUGGGAACUUUCUUAAACCUAUCUAUUUAGAAGAAGCUGAAGUCGUAACA
rnacentral:rRNA from 1 species